UCAAUUCUUUCUAGAGUCAAAGGGGUUC
rnacentral:piRNA from 1 species